GUUGUUUCAAUUCUGUUUCUUAUUAUGCUCUUUCUACAGCAUAAUUUGCAACUACCAGAGAAGCACAGCAUGGGCGUGAGUCAACAGCAGAUGGAUCCAACAGUACUUAUAAACAACUUUCCAGAAGGCUGUGUGCAGGCCUGGAUCAAUCCAUGUAGGGAAUAA
rnacentral:lncRNA from 1 species